AUUGAACGCUGGCGGCGUGCUUAACACAUGCAAGUCGAACGAAGUCGCGAACGGGUGAGUAACGCGUAAUCAACCUGCCCUUCAGAGGGGGACACCAGUUGGAAACGACUGCUAAUACCGCAUACUGAAGGACGGGAUUGCGUGUGAUUAGCUAGUUGGAGGGGUAACGGCCCACCAAGGCGAUGAUCAGUAGCCGGUCUGAGAGGAGGAAGGGCCAAAUUGGGAAUGAGACAAGGCCCAGACUCCUAAGGGAGGCAGCAGUGGGGAAUCUUCCGCAAUGGACGAAAGUCUGACGGAGCAACGCCGCGUGAGUGAUGACGGCCUUCGGGUUGUAAAGCUCUGUUAAUCGGGACGCGGUACCGGAAUAGAAAGCCACGGCUAACUACGUGCCAGCAGCCGCGGUAAUUC
rnacentral:rRNA from 1 species